AUGGAUGGAUGGAUGGAUAGAUUGAUGGAUGGAUAGAUGGAUAGAUGUUGAUGUUGUUCUAUUGGAAAGAAAGGAAGAAAGACAGCUGAACAUCUUCCCUACAUCUUUUACACAUUUCUGGGGGGAAAGUGGAUAGAUAGAUAGAUGGAUGGAUGGAUGGAUCUGGUUCUGAUUGGUUUUCAGGCUCCUAGAUUUUGUUCCACAGGAAGAAAGGAAGAAAGACAGCUUAACAUCUUCCCUACAUCUAUUACACAUUAUUGGGGGAAAAUAGAUAGAUAGAUAGAUAGAUAGAUAGAUAGAUAGAUAGAUAGAUAGAUAGAGCUUGAUUGGUUCUGAUUGGUUCUCAGACUCCCAGAUUUUGUUCCACAGGAAGAAAGGAAAAAAGACAGCUGAACAUCUUCCCUACAUCUAUCACACUUCUGGGGGAAAGUGGGCUUUUGGAGGGAUGGAUGGAUGGAUUGAUGGAUAGAUGAUGGAUGGAUAGAUGGGUGGCUGGAAUGUAACUAACGAUUCAAGGCAGGUUGUUGGUGGCUGUUAUUUGGGCUUUAAUUGCUUUAAAAUUUUAAUAAAUACAAAAAUCUUAUGUAAUCUGAUUCUGUGAGACUCUAAACUGAGUGGGCAGAUGUAGAUUAGCAUGGUAGUGUUUCUAUACUUCUAUACAGUCAGUUGUGUGUAUUCUGUUCAUUCAGGGAUUAGAUGUUGAAAUCAACUUGCCCUAAUUCACUAGAGUUUAUGGGUUUGUGAAAGUGCUCACGAAGGCCCGUUAAACCUGCGCGAGCUUUACGCCAGGCGCCAACGUCGUAAACAGUGUAGCGAGUCUCAGACUUUAUGAGGAAAAUAUGAAGCUGACAGAGAGAGAGGCUACAUGUUUGUUGGGGUAGAAAUGAGGUGAAGGCCAUUGUUAUCUUACUUUUAUGUGUUCUUUCUUCAUAUCUUACACUGUACGGACAAAAGUAUUGGGACACCUACUAAGAGAAGACCAAGGGCUCUAUUGUACACCCUGCGAAAGGCUCGUUGUGAUGCUCAUUGCUAUUUUACACCCCAUCAACUCCCCCCCCGUCCCUUUUAGUGCCUUGCACCUGCGCUGUUAAAGUAGCGUCAGAGUUUAGGAAUAAAUCUAAACUGAUGGUUUGGUGUCUGAUGGGUCUGGAAAAUGAGGUGUGUUCAGAUAUAUAUUUGGCGUGUUUCAAACUUGCCGGCAGGAAACACAGAUGCGCCACUGACUGAUUAAAACCCUGACAACAGUCAACAGUCAGCCGCUCAAUCCUAUCUCAGCUAUGCUGAAGCAAUGUGCGCAUUGUGUGCCCUCAGCACAUAUAAAUACUCAGCUUUUACCUCAACAAUCCAGCUUUUACCUCAACAAUAAACAGAAUAAAGAAACAGCAGCCCUUAAAUGAGCUGCUGGUGUAUCUUCUAAGCCUGAAAGCGCAGGUCAGUAUCCACUGCUAAGACGCACAAAAGCACUGCACUGUUAAGAUACGAACGCGCCAAGGUGAAAACUCACCUGGCUCCUAAAGGAAAUGACUCACUAACUGGUUUAUUUCCACCAUCAUUCCAUCAUUUCCACCAUCAUGGCUGGCUUUAUUCUCCUCUAUAUAGCCAACACCUGGCAUUAGGCAUGGUGCCAAUAAGUUCAUGUCUCUGCAUCUGUUCCAGAAAGUACUGUUAUUUUGGUAGUACUUCUGUACAGAGACUAGACAAGCUGUAUGUGUGCAUUUGCACAUCUAUAUCAGCAGCAGGUGCCACUAAAAGAAGGUGCCAUUCUUCAGAAGGGGUGUCCUGGUGUUGUCCAACAACGCUACCACAGUUUUAGCAUGGCAGUACAGAACUGGCAGGGAGUGUGGGAGAGAGCCGGCAAGCAUAGAAAACAUAGCAAAGCAUUUUACAAACUCUUUCACAGUGUUAGCAUGGUAGCCACCAGCCUAUUCCAGCACUGCUAUAGCAUCAUUAGCACACUAGCUACCAUCAAUCUACCAACAUCACUACUGAGGCAUUAGCACAUUGGCUGCUGCACAUAUCCACCAUUAGAACAUUGCAGAUCAUCCUUGGACUACAUCACUACUCCAGCAUUAGCACUUUUACUACCAUCCUUGGUCUACAUAACUACUACAUUAUUAGCACUCUUAGAAAAAUAAACUAGCCUGUUUCAUAAGCUUUUCAUAACGAACUUUGCGGAUAAGCCCCCAGAACAGUUACUCCCGUGCACAGAACCAUUGUGCCUGGUGUCAAAUUGUCACCAUAAACUAACCAAUAGAAAUGCAUUAUUAAAAAAAAAUACUAGAAAUACAAUUUAGACAGUUUUUUUCCUAUAUAUUUCUGAAAUAAACGGUUUUUACAUGAUACUGACAAAAGUCUGGCCUUUGUCAGUGUACAGUACAUUAAUAGAGACAGCUACUGCUACUGUAUGAGAAGAGAGAAAGAGCGAGGGAGAGAGAGGGAGAGAGAGAGAGAGAGAGAGGGCGGGAAACGAGUGCAGCCUAGUUUGCCAUUUUUUUGGCACCCGUUUCCGUGAGCUCUGUGUAGAAGGUGCCAGAAGCUCAUCUCUGCCAACCUCUCUCCCUCUGAUCCUUUCUUUCUCUCCCGCCUUUUCUCCUUUCACCCAUUCUCUCCGUCUUUCUCGAGGGGCUCAACCCCGGCCUCACCCCCGCCGCCUCGACGCGCCCAUGUCUUUCUGAUGCAACAAUUAAUGCUUCUUAAGAAUGAAGGAAAAAGCAACUAUGUACACAGCUAUCAAAGCAAGAAAACACAUUUCCCUUUGUUUUCGGGUUCACAAUGCUUUCAUAGAAAACGUGAAACAUUCAUAUGUGUAACAUUCAUCAUUGUGUUGAAUUUUAUUGUGUUAAUAGAUAGCAUUUUAUAACACUUAAAAAUUAUAGCACUGAGUAUUUGGCAACUGAAAUUAUUCGGCUCAAAAUGGCAAAAAGCACGUUCAAUAUUCAGCUAAAUAAAAAAAGUAUCAAAAACUUUCUGCAUACAAGAUUACCUAAAUACAAUUACUUAAUUUAUACAAUAUUACUCAAAUAAUUUAUGAUACAAAAUAUAUUAUAAUUGCUAAAAUUUAAAUAUUUUAGUUAAAACACACAUAUUACACUGUCUCAACAAAUUUAUUUAGUAUACUACAAAUAAUAUAUUACAUGCUAUCCAUGUGUUGAGACCGUGAGACUUGUUCUGUUUACAAAACAAAUCUUUAAGAUUAUGUAAAUAUUUGAAUGUAUGUUUUAACUAAACAUUUAAUUGCAGGAAUUAUAUUGUAGUAUUGUAUAAAUUAAGUAAUUGUAAUUAGGUAAUAUUGUAUGCAGAAAUGAAGUAAAGUUUACUAAAAGAAAGGAUUGAUUCAGUAAAAAUAAAUGAAGUAAAGUUUACUAAAGGAAAGGAUUGAUUCAGUAAAAAUAAAUGAAGUAAAGUUUACUAAAAGAAAGGAUUGAUUCAGUAAAAAUAAAUGAAGUAAAGUUUACUAAAAGAAAGGAUUGAUUCAGUAAAAAUAAAUGAAGUAAAGUUUACUAAAAGAAAGGAUUGAUUCAGUAAAAAUAAAUGAAGUAAAGUUUAAUAAAAGAAAGGAUUGAUUCAGUAAAAAUAAAUGAAGUAAAGUUUACUAAAAGAAAGGACUGACUGAAGUUCAGUUCACUUAUUUACUCUGUGUAACAUUUAAGUUUUGAAACUGAGUUGAAGUUACUUACAUUUGUCUGAAAUUAAAUUUACUUAAAAAAAGCAAAUGCAGAAAGUUGCCAAACUUUUUUUAAGUACAUUUUACGCGUCAUUUUUCCAGUGCAGGCAGGGAGUUUGGAAGAGAGCAUUAAGAGCAAGGUGAGCAAACAAACGGCAGGUUUAAGUUCAUUUUUGCUCUACUCACAUCAAUAGAAUUUAUGUAAUCAAGUGUUUACCUUAUCACACUCAUCACACUUAUCACACUUCAUGAGAUAUGAGAUGAGGUAAGAUUAGCUCAAUACUUGGGGCUGUAUACUCUUCUAGACAGUGUUUAGCAUUGGGCAUGGUGUACCAUUGUAUUGAUGGAGAAAAAAUAUUAGUUUUGAAGAUAUAUGGAAACAUAUGCAGGGAGAGAAGAGUGGUAAGGCAUUUGCUGAAGCUGAGGUGAGUGUGUGUGUGUUUGUGUGUGUGUGUGUGUGUGUGUGUGUGUAGUCAUAGACAACACUUUGUUAAGAAGAGCAGAAAAGCAGAGAGGGAAUCAGUGCUAGCUGGUGUCUGUGUGAAGAAACGAACCGAGAAACGGAUUUAGGCCACUAGAAUCUGUGUGAAAAACACAGUGAUGAUAAAGAGGAGGAGUAGGAGGACGAGGAGGAGGGGGUGGAGGAGUAAAAGGAAGGAUAGCAUGUUAGGAAGCUAAAGUGUGUGUGUGUGUUUAUUUCUGUAAUAUUAGUUUUAAGCGAAAUCUUGGCUUUGCAGUAAAUUACAGCCAAUGAAAACCAAAAAAUCAGUGUCUCAGAAUAAUUAUUAGAAUAUUAUAUAAGACCAAUUGGUACUUUUGGCAGUGUGGGCAGUGUGCCAAGUCCUGCUGAAAAAUGAAAUCCACAUCUCCAUGAAAGUUGUCAGUAGCAGAGGGAAGCAUGAAGUGCUGUAAUAUUUUGACUUUAGACUGGAUAAUAAAACACAGUGGAUCAACACCAGCAGAUGACAGACAUGACUCUUCAUCCAUCACUGAUUGGUGGAAACUUCACACUAGACCUCGAGCAGUUUGGACUGUGUGUCUCUCCACUCUUCCUCCAGACUCUGAUCCUUUAAUUUCCAAAUUAAAUGUAAAAUUUUAUAAUGAUGAUCAGUGAUGGUUUGGAGAGACAUGUCAUCUGCUGCUGUUGAUCCACUGUGUUUUAUUAUCAAGACUAAAGUCAGUGCAGUAUUUUCCUGGAAAGUGGAGAUGGGGAUUUCAUUUUCCAGCAGGAUUUGGACUAUGAUCUAUACAUCUACACACCGACAGUGGGUAUCAGUGAAUGGAUCAAUGAGUACAUGAUGGUGGUAGAUCCCAAUGGAAGGAAAGGCUAAGGUAUGCAAUUAUAAGCUGAUUUAAGUCAAAAAUCUUAAAGAUCUCCGUUUAAAUAUAUAUGUAGCCGCAAAUGUUCACCAACUUAAAACCUAAUUUAAUUUUAUACUAAUUGUUUGUUACAAACAAGCUGAAAAUGCUGCUGAAGUUCAUUCAUCCGUCCUUCUUCCAAAUCAUUUACUGAAUUUACACCCAGCCAAGGCGUCACUGGAGGAAUUAGCGGCUAGUUUGCACCCAAGUCCCACUGGCACACACUUACACACACACACACACACACACUUCCUGAUAAACUGGCACUAUCAUCUGGACUCUAUAACACAGAGCGGGAAUGCCAUCAUACGUUAACCUGGCAAUCUGAGGCCUAGGCCUGGACUCCAGACGGAAUGUCUGACACACACACACACACAUAUAUUUUUGUACAGUAUGCAAUACACUGAUAUCCCAAAAGUAAUACCACAGAUGGACAGCUUGAGUUAUAAGUUAUGAGGUGAUAUCUUGUGAUUAAGGUUCACACAUUUCUUUGCGUGGCGCCAUAGAAGAACGACUUUUGUUUCCAUAAACAACCAUGUUUAUGUUUUAAUAUAAACUUCAUGAAUAGUAAUCAGCAGUCAGG